GCAUAUCAAUAAGCGGAGGAAAAGAAACCAACAGGGAUUGCCUCAGUAACGGCGAGUGAAGCGGCAACAGCUCAAAUUUGAAAUCUGGCCCCCUCGGGGUCCGAGUUGUAAUUUGGAGAAGAUGCUUCGGGUGCGGCCCCGGUCUAAGUUCCUUGGAACAGGACGUCACAGAGGGUGAGAAUCCCGUACGUGCCCGGUGGUCGCCCCCAUGUGAAGCUCUUUCGACGAGUCGAGUUGUUUGGGAAUGCAGCUCUAAAUGGGUGGUAUAUUUCAUCUAAAGCUAAAUAUUGGCCAGAGACCGAUAGCGCACAAGUAGAGUGAUCGAAAGAUGAAAAGCACUUUGGAAAGAGAGUUAAACAGUACGUGAAAUUGUUGAAAGGGAAGCGCUUGCAACCAGACUUGCGCGCGGCCGAUCAUCCGGUGUUCGCACCGGUGCACUCGACCGCGCGCAGGCCAGCAUCGGUUUGGGUGGCUGGACAAAGGCCUCGGGAAUGUGGCUCCCCUCGGGGAGUGUUAUAGCCCGAGGUGCAAUGCAGCCUAUCCGGACCGAGGACCGCGCUUCGGCUAGGAUGCUGGCGUAAUGGUUGUAAGCGACCCGUCUUGAAACACGGACC
rnacentral:rRNA from 4 species